rnacentral:rRNA from 1 species
ACGGGAGGCAGCAGUGGGGGAUAUUGCACAAUGGGGGAAACCCUGAUGCAGCGACGCCGCGUGAGUGAAGAAGUAUUUCGGUAUGUAAAGCUCUAUCAGCAAGGAAGAAAAUGACGGUACUUGACUAAGAAGCUCCGGCUAAAUACGUGCCAGCAGCCGCGGUAAUACGUAUGGAGCAAGCGUUAUCCGGAUUUACUGGGUGUAAAGGGAGCGUAGACGGCAAAGCAAGUCUGAAGUGAAAUGCCGGGGCUUAACCCCGGAACUGCUUUGGAAACUGUUUAGCUAGAGUGCAGGAGAGGUAAGCGGAAUUCCUAGUGUAGCGGUGAAAUGCGUAGAUAUUAGGAGGAACACCAGUGGCGAAGGCGGCUUACUGGACUGUAACUGACGUUGAGGCUCGAAAGCGUGGGGAGCAAACAGGAUUAGAUACCCUGGUA